GUGGGGAAUCUUCCGCAAUGGACGAAAGUCUGACGGAGCAACGCCGCGUGAGUGAUGAAGGUCUUCGGAUUGUAAAGCUCUGUUAAUCGGGACGAAAGAGCCUAGUGUGAAUAAUGCUAGGAAGUGACGGUACCGGAAUAGAAAGCCACGGCUAACUACGUGCCAGCAGCCGCGGUAAUACGUAGGUGGCAAGCGUUGUCCGGAAUUAUUGGGCGUAAAGCGCGCGCAGGCGGAUCUGCCAGUCUGUCUUAAAAGUUCGGGGCUUAACACCGUGAUGGGAUGGAAACUACAGAUCUAGAGUAUCGGAGAGGAAAGUGGAAUUCCUAGUGUAGCGGUGAAAUGCGUAGAUAUUAGGAAGAACACCAGUGGCGAAGGCGACUUUCUGGACGAAAACUGACGCUGAGGCGCGAAAGCCAGGGGAGCGAACGGGAUUAGAAACCCCGGUAGUCC
rnacentral:rRNA from 1 species